rnacentral:rRNA from 1 species
UGAGGGAUAUUGGUCAAUGGGGGCAACCCUGAACCAGCGACGCCGCGUGGGUGAAGAAGGUCUUCGGAUCGUAAAGCCCUUUUCUGCGGGAAGAGGAAGGACGGUACCGCAGGAAGAAGUCUCGGCUAACUACGUGCCAGCAGCCGCGGUAAAACGUAGGAGACAAGCGUUAUCCGGAGUUACUGGGCGUAAAGGGCGUGUAGGCGGCGGUUUAAGUGGGUUGUGAAAGCGUCUGGCUCAACCGGGCGAGGCCGACCCAGACUGGACUGCUAGAGGGCGGUAGAGGGGUGUGGAAUUCCGGGUGUAGUGGUGAAAUGCGUAGAGAUCCGGAGGAACACCAGAGGCGAAGGCGACACUCUAGGCCGCACCUGACGCUGAGACGCGACAGCACGGGGAGCGAACGGG